rnacentral:rRNA from 1 species
UACGUGAGGGUGCAAGCGUUGUCCGGAAUCAUUGGGGCGUAAAGCGCGCGUAGGCGGCCCGAUAAGUCCGCUUGUAAAAGUCAACGGCUCAACUGUUGAAAGCCAGGUGGAUACUGUCGGGCUAGAGUGACGGAAGAGGCAAGUGGAAUUCCUGGUGUAGCGGUGGAAUGCGCAGAUAGUCAGGAGGAACACCUAUAGCGAAGGCAGCUUGCUGGGACGUUACUGACGCUAAGGCGCGAAGCGUGGGAGCGAACGAGG